AUGGAGAGGAAUCCUUUGGCUGCCUCCUUACUAAUCAUCUGGCUUAAUCUUGGCCGAGUGAGUAGCAUAUCGAAUGUGGAACAGAAUCCUUGGUCUCUGCAUGUUCAGGAGGGAGACAGCACCAAUUUCACCUGCAGAUUCCCUUCCAGCUCCUUUUAUGCCUUACACUGGUACAGGUGGGAACCUGCAAAAAGCCCCACGAUCCUGUUUGUAAUGACUUUAAAUGGAGAUGAAAAGAAAGAAGGACGAGUAAAAGUUACUCUUAAUACUAAAGAGGGUUACAGCCAUUUGCACAUCAAAGGAUCCCUGCCUGAAGACUCAGCUACAUACCUCUGUGCUGUGACACAGUGCUCUUCAGGAACCUGCAGCCCAUACCCAAACCUGUGUCUGGUGUUGCUCUACUACCCAGCAUCAACAUAG